rnacentral:rRNA from 1 species
AUUGAAUGCUGGCGGCAUGCUUUACACAUGCAAGUCGAACGGCAGCAUGGGUGCUUGCACCUGAUGGCGAGUGGCGAACGGGUGAGUAAUAUAUCGGAACAUGUCCGGAGGUGGGGGAUAACGUAGCGAAAGUUACGCUAAUACCGCAUAUGCCCUGAGGGGGAAAGGAGGGGAUCGUAAGACCUUUCGCUUUCGGAGUGGCCGAUAUCAGAUUAGCUAGUUGGUGAGGUAAAGGCUCACCAAGGCAACGAUCUGUAGCGGGUCUGAGAGGAUGAUCCGCCACACUGGGACUGAGACACGGCCCAGACUCCUACGGGAGGCAGCAGUGGGGAAUUUUGGACAAUGGGCGCAAGCCUGAUCCAGCCAUGCCGCGUGAGUGAAGAAGGCCUUCGGGUUGUAAAGCUCUUUCAGCCGGAAAGAAAUCAUGCUUACUAAUACUAAGUGUGGAUGACGGUACCGGAAGAAGAAGCACCGGCUAACUACGUGCCAGCAGCCGCCGUAA